rnacentral:rRNA from 1 species
AGGACGAACGCUGGCGGCGCGCCUAACGACAUGCAAGUCGAGCGAGAACCAGGGCUUGCCCUGGGGAAAGCGGCGAACGGGUGCGUAACACGUGAGCAACCUGCCCCAAAGACCGGGACAACCCGAGGAAACUCGGACUAAUACCGGAUGCCCUCACCGGGCCGCAUGGUCUGGUGAGGAAAUGGAUUCCGCUUUGGGAUGGGCUCGCGGUCUAUCAGCUUGUUGGUGGGGUAACGGCCUACCAAGGCGACGACGGAUAGCUGGUCUGAGAGGACGAUCAGCCACACUGGGACUGAGACACGGCCCAGACUCCUACGGGAGGCAGCAGUGGGGAAUCUUGCGCAAUGGGGGAAACCCUGACGCAGCGACGCCGCGUGCGGGAUGAAGGCCUUCGGGUUGUAAACCGCUUUCAGCAGGGACGAAAUUGACGGUACCUGCAGAGAAGGCCGGCCAACUACGUGCCAGCAGCCGC